rnacentral:lncRNA from 1 species
AAUAAAGAAAAUAGAUUCCAUGGAAUCAAUGAAUUGAUUUGCUUUACUAAAGAGAGAUCUUGACUGAUUGAAAUUUAACUGUUAAAUUAGAGUUUUUUUGUUAUGUAAAAUGAACUGUGUGAGGAAUCUAAACACUUAUUUUUUUGUUCUUUCUUUGUCGUUGAUAGAAGAAUAUUUCAGUCCUGAUAUUUGCUGUAACUAAUAAUUACUGGAUAAACAGAGAAGACACAUGGAGGAUAUUUUACCUGGGUCCAACAAAACCAUAGCAACAGCAGCAAGUUGAAAAGAGCAAAAAAAAAAAAAAGAGAGAGACCGAAGUACAAUUACAAUCCCAUCCCACAAAAAGGUCAAGGGCUACCUGAAAGACCGGUGGCCCCAGGAUCCUCAAAGCAUCCAAACCAUCCCUAUACUCUCAGG